rnacentral:rRNA from 1 species
UACGGAGGGGGCUAGCGUUGUUCGGAAUUACUGGGCGUAAAGCGCACGUAGGCGGAUUGAAAGUUGGGGGUGAAAUCCCGGGGCUCAACCCCGGAACUGCCUUCAAAACUCCCAGUCUGGAGGUCGAGAGAGGUGAGUGGAAUUCCAGGUGUAGAGGUGAAAUUCGUAGAUAUUCGGAGGAACACCAGUGGCGAAGGCGGCUCACUGGCUCGAUACUGACGCUGAGGUGCGAAAGCGUGGGGAGCAAACAGG